AUACUUUUCUCGGCCUUUUGGCUAAGAUCAAGUGUAGUAUCUGUUCUUAUCAGUUUAAUAUCUGAUAUGUGGGCCAUGUGCCUACAAUGAUAUUAAAUUUAUUUUUUAGGGGGUGGGUCCACAACAGUAGCUUGCUAUUGGGGCUCACAUGUGUCGCCUGGACGUUGCACUACUGCCCUGGCCUGGCACACCCCAA